UACGUAGGUGGCAAGCGUUGUCCGGAAUUAUUGGGCGUAAAGCGCGCGCAGGUGGUUUCUUAAGUCUGAUGUGAAAGCCCACGGCUCAGCCGUGGAGGGUCAUUGGAAACUGGGGAACUUGAGUGCAGAAGAGGAAAGUGGAAUUCCAAGUGUAGCGGUGAAAUGCGUAGAGACCCGGAGGAACACCAGUGGCGAAGGCGGCUUCCUGGUCUGCGACUGACGCUGUGGCGCGAAAGCUAGGGGAGCAAACGGG
rnacentral:rRNA from 1 species